rnacentral:rRNA from 1 species
AUACGGAGGAUGCGAGCGUUAUCCGGAUUUAUUGGGUUUAAAGGGAGCGUAGGUGGGAUAUUAAGUCAGCUGUGAAAGUUUGGGGCUCAACCCUAAAAUUGCAGUUGAUACUGGUUUCCUUGAGUACGGUACAGGUGGGCGGAAUUCGUGGUGUAGCGGUGAAAUGCUUAGAUAUCACGAAGAACUCCGAUCGCGAAGGCAGCUCACCGGGCCGGAACUGACACUGAUGCUCGAAAGUGCGGGUAUCAAACAGGAUUAGAUACCCUGGUAGUCCGCACAGUAAACGAUGAAUACUCGCUGUUCGCGAUACACUGUAAGCGGCCAAGCGAAAGCGUUAAGUAUUCCACCUGGGGAGUACGCCGGCAACGGUGAAACUCAAAUGAAUUGACGGGG